GUACUGCUGAAGAGUCCCAAACUAGGACGAAACAGCUAUUCAGUAC
rfam:Trichobilharzia regenti genome assembly, scaffold: TRE_scaffold0099673